CACGUAGGGUGCGAGCGUUAAUCGGAAUUACUGGGCGUAAAGCGUGCGCAGGCGGUGAUGUAAGACAGAUGUGAAAUCCCCGGGCUCAACCUGGGACCUGCAUUUGUGACUGCAUCGCUAGAGUACGGCAGAGGGGGAUGGAAUUCCGCGUGUAGCAGUGAAAUGCGUAGAUAUGCGGAGGAACACCGAUGGCGAAGGCAAUCCCCUGGGCCUGUACUGACGCUCAUGCACGAAAGCGUGGGGAGCAAACAGG
rnacentral:rRNA from 1 species